UCUUCCACCCAUCAUCACAGAGAGAAUCCCAACCAACCGCCAGAUUACAGAAAGCUCUGGACUGCUCAUAGCAGGGAUUUUCAAAGCUGUCCUGGAGGACCACUAGUACUGCACAUUUUGCAUGUUUCCCUUUUGUGACACACCUCAUUCAGUUACCUUACACACGCAGUUCAAGUCUUGCAGUCUCUACUAAUGAGCUGAAAAUUUAAACCAGGUGUGUCUAAUGAGGGAGACAUGCAAAUUGUGCAGUACUAGUAGUCCUCCAGGACAGCUUUGAAAACCUCUGGCUCAUUGCAUUGGACUGACCUAUGUUUACUGCGCUCUGAAAUCUGUGUUGGUAUAUGUUUAUUGCACUCUGUGUUGGUUACUGGACCGACCUGUUUAUUGCAGACUUUGAAAUCUGUUGGUUACUUGACUGUUUGCACUAUUUAAAAUGUGCUGUUUUAUUAAAGUUAUUAUAACCCUUUAAAGCUUUGUUUCAUUUUAUAAAAUGUUAUUUGGUAUGUUAAUGUGGUCCUGUUUUCAACAUUGAAAAGAUGGAUGAAUAUGGACCAAAAUUAGACGUUGAAGAUCGACCUGAUUUGAACGUUGAAAAGAUGGACGAAUAUGACGUCUUUUCAAUUUUCAUUUUCAACCUUCAAUGGACCAAAAUUAGACGUUGAAGAUCGACCUGUUUUCAACGUUGAAAAGUUGGACAAAUUUGACAUCUUUUCAAUUUUCAUUUUCAACCUUCAGUGGACCAAAAUUAGAAGUUGAAGAUCGACCUGUUUUCAACAUUGAAAAGUUGGACAAAUUUGACGUCUUUUCAAUUUUCAUUUUCAACCUUCAGUGGACCAAAAUUAGACGUUGAAGGUUUAGGUCUACUCAACGUCCAAUAGACGACUUUUUGCUAGCUUUGGGGUUUCUUUUCCUCGUCGCGUUUGGUUAAGCACAUGGUGAAACAGUAUGCACAUCACUGUACCUGCCGUACUGUACACCUGUGAGCGGCAUGACGAGACAAAAGACAGUAAAACUCAUUAUUAAUCGGUGAUGCUGUACAUUCUGGAUGAUGCACAGCCACAUUUUAUAAUACAGUUUUUUAUUUUCGUGUGGCGCCGCUCGCGUUCAAUAUAAAGUUAGACAAGACGCAAUUAAUUACUGGGAGAGUAGUGGUCUAAUGGUAAGAGUCGAACUUCACGAACCUUUCACUGCUUGCAGUAAGGCUAAAGUGCUACGUGAAUAAGAUGGGUGUAGUUUUGUGCUACUAGCUGUAAAGUAUUUUUGCACUAUUGAGUUAUAAAUACUGCCCAGUAAUACUUAACUAGAUGUAAAUCACAAUUCUUGUGUCAAUGUUUGUUUGUAAUCUUUUUCAGCUAUCCAUCUGAAAAAGAAAAGCUGGCACUCUCAAAGGAGAUUGUGUUGUUGGAUUAAGGUCUCAUUUGGUCAAAAAGAGGGACAUGUACUGUAAGGAUGCUUUUACAUACUUCAUUAAUGUGUAUGAAAUUACUUACUUGACAAUGUGUAUAAAAACUGUACUUGACUCUAACUAAGUGCUAUUUUUGCAUUGAUCAUGAUAGGAGCAUUUUUUUUAAUGGGCCAUCACACAGUGGAUUUAUAAAAAUGAGAUUACAGAACAUCAGACGGUAGCUUCAACAGAGUUGAAUUGGGAGGACAUCAUCAAUAAAGAAUGCCAUUGACCAAACCUUAAGUCAUCAAAGAAGAUGGAUACAGGGGGACAUCAAGUUUUCCAGACUUACCGAUGGGAAAGAAGAAAUGGGAAUGUGACAAUUAUUGAGAAACUCAGGGGAAAAAGCAUCUUUAGAGAAGAAAAUGGACAUCAGACAUUUAUUGAAGAAAGCUGACAGUCAACAUAAUGAUGAGAGCUGUGUUAUACAAUGUUAAGGAUACUCGUUCAUCUUCUGCUGUUUCAGUCCGGUGGGACUUGAUGCCGGCUGGUACCAGCGUGACGUCUUUGCUUACUAAAUGAUCAAAGGGUGUCUGAAAUCAGCUCAGCCACAGUUGGUUUCCAACGGUUCUUCAGGACAUGGAGGCCACUACGUAACUGUUGCAAUGAACGAUUCUUUUGCCUUUCCACCUGAUGUUGACAAUCUGACCUGUGCGGUACUGAAAACAACUUGCACUGACAUAUCUUAAAAUAUAUCAGUGCCCUUUGUUUUGCCUCAAAAUGCACACCAGUAAUGUUUUUUGUUGAAACCAGUUAUAUUUCUUAAUUAAACUAAGGCCUAGUCCUGGAUUAAGCUAAUCCCUUGUCCGGGAAACCGCCCCUAAAUGUUUUGUGACGGAAAUUUCUUUGAAUACACUUGUCAAGUUCAUUUUAAGUAUUUUUCUAAAUGUAAGAUAACAUGUUAAUGUUUCAGGACAAGUUAAAAUUUUUUGAUAACUUGCAUGUUGGAAACGAUUUCAGACAUUGUUCUAUUCAACAUGUUUAACACAGUUGCUUUUAAAUUCAAUGAAUUAUUUUAUAAAUAGUGUUUUAAAAAGUAUCAAUGUAAUGUAUGUUUGAAGUAAUUAUACCUGCACUUACAUUUAUUUAAAUUAGCAUACAUCUAGCCAGGGGCGGAGUGGGACCAAAAAAUCUACCGGGAAAUUUCGUAUACCACCGGCCCUCCGUGGUAAAAAAAAAUGUUUCGUAGCCUAUUUGUAGUAAAACUAGGGUAGGCUAAUAAGAAUCGUAAUCAAUUUGCCCCCCCCAAAAAAAAAACUUUUUCAUAAUAAUAAUAAUAAAAUCAUUAAAUCAUGGCUAAUUUUCCUAAUGAGUAACUAUACAAAAUGAUACCUGGUUGAAAGACGGAGAUGCGCACCUCAAUCAGCUAUUACAUAACAGAGCGAGACCAGAGAUGAUUGUGCUCAUAAACGGAGUAAUAUGGAAUAAUUUGUGCAUCUUUGAAUAACUGUAAGAAUAUUUCCUUUAAAUAUAAUUUUUGUCAUAUAAAGUUUUGAGAGAUAGCCUAAUAAUGUUUUUUUCUACGGUUAUUGCUUAUUUAUUUUAACGUGUUUGGCGCAUUACCUAAGAAUACAGUUCAUUUGAAAAUAAUUUUUGUCAAAGUUUUGAGAAAUAAUAAUGUUGUGA